rnacentral:rRNA from 1 species
AAGCGGCAACAGCUCAAAUUUGAAAUCUGGCGCAAGCCCGAGUUGUAAUUUGUAGAGGAUGCUUCUGGGUAGCGGCCGGUCUAAGUUCCUUGGAACAGGACGUCACAGAGGGUGAGAAUCCCGUAUGUGAUCGGCCCGCGCCCUCUACGUAGCUCCUUCGACGAGUCGAGUUGUUUGGGAAUGCAGCUCUAAAUGGGAGGUAAAUUUCUUCUAAAGCUAAAUACCGGCCAGAGACCGAUAGCGCACAAGUAGAGUGAUCGAAAGAUGAAAAGCACUUUGGAAAGAGAGUUAAAAAGCACGUGAAAUUGUUGAAAGGGAAGGGCUUGCAACCAGACUUGACGGCGGUGUUCCCCCGGGCUUCUGCCCGGGUUAUUCACCGUCGGCAGGCCAUCAUCGUCUGGGGCCGCUGGAGAAACCGUCAGGAAUGUGGCUCCCUCGGGAGUGUUAUAGCCUGUCGACAUGCAGCGUGCCCCGGGCGAGGUCCGCGCUUAGGCAAGGAUGAUGGCGUAAUGGUUGUCAGCCGCCCGUCUUGAAACACGGACCAAGGAGUCUAACAUCUAUGCGAGUGUUCGGGUGUCAAACCCCUACGCGUAAUGAAAGUGAACGGAGGUGGGAGCUUCGGCGCACCAUCGACCGAUCCUGAUGUCCUCGGAUGGAUUUGAGUAAGAGCAUAGCUGUUGGGACCCGAAAGAUGGUGAACUAUGCCUGAAUAGGGUGAAGCCAGAGGAAACUCUGGUGGA